AUUGAACGCUGGCGGCAGGCCUAACACAUGCAAGUCGAACGGUAACAGGAAGCAGCUUGCUGCUUUGCUGACGAGUGGCGGACGGGUGAGUAAUGUCUGGGAAACUGCCUGAUGGAGGGGGAUAACUACUGGAAACGGUAGCUAAUACCGCAUAACGUCGCAAGACCAAAGAGGGGGACCUUCGGGCCUCUUGCCAUCGGAUGUGCCCAGAUGGGAUUAGCUAGUAGGUGGGGUAACGGCUCACCUAGGCGACGAUCCCUAGCUGGUCUGAGAGGAUGACCAGCCCCAGUGGAACUGAGACACGGUCCAGACACCGACGGGAGGCAGCAGUGGGGAAUAGUGCACAAAGGGCGCAAGCCUGAUGCAGCCAUGCCGCGUGGAUGAAGAAGGCCUUCGUGUUGUAAAGUACUUUCAGCGGGGAGGAAGGGAGUAAAGUUAAAACCUGUGCUCAUUGACGUUACCCGCAGAAGAAGCACCGGCUAACUCCGG
rnacentral:rRNA from 1 species